CUCCAAGAAUAAGUGGCUAUAGAUUUAUUUAUUUCCUUGAGCAGUGUUUAACCACAAAAAAAAUUUCAUGCCAAUUCUUCUGCUUAUAAAUAGCAUUUAUAUCACCACCAUGGACAUUAUGUUCAAGAAAACAAAUAUGUGGGGUUUUUUUCUUGCUCAGAGAGUAGGAAUAGAUGCAUGGAUUUGUGUGUUCGUGAGGCUUUUGUGUGUUGCAAUGACAAAGAAAUUAUUCUUGUAUCCACCUGAAAAAAAAUAUUCUUAAAUGAAAUUCCACACAUUCAGUCUUAAUGCUAAAGUAUUAAGGCUAAACUCACAGUUUAUUGAGUGCUCUUAGAGAUUUCUUCUAUAGAUGUAAGGAGAAGUUAUUUUAGCAUUCAGAAAGAGCAGUAUGUACUAAAGUGGGAAAGAGAUGGGUUUGCUAUGGCUAUUACUUGAACACAUUUUCUGAUUAAUUCAUUAAUGCGUCAUUCCUCAAAAAUGAAAUGACACUUCACUGCAGUAGUCUGACAAAAUCCUGAUAAUACUUUAAUCUACAAUAUUUUCAGAAAACUGCUCAAGGUUUUCAGCCAAACUGUUUACCCGAUGGAGUUAUCUUUAAAAAAAAAUUGCGCUAAGUCUACCUCAUAGCACAUGUCAUGCAGAAAAAAAUUCAAUAUUUUGGUCAAUAACUUGGCAGAAGAUAAAAAUGUAUGAUCUUCUACACCAGGUCAGUUCAAAUCCAGUCUCCUGUGUGAAACCUUCCCACACAGGAAGUGAAAGGAAAGUUUAUACGAAGAAGGCAGGUGUAGUGAAAUUUUCUCUAGUUAAUAGUACUUAAAACUUUACCAGUUUUGGAACCAAGAAAAAUAUUUUUUUAUAUAGUCUAUUAAAGAGAACCAAAAUCAUAAGAGAGACAAAGACAGUAGGAUGAUACAUUUGUUCUUUAAGAUGUUGAGUUCUGUUGGUGCCAUGGUUUGCCCUGAAACACAGUGGUGAUCCACUUGCCAGGGGACUUUUUAUUGUUUUUUGGUUUUUUGUUCAGACUGUUUAGUUUGCACUGAUCAGAUGAGCACAGAGAAUUGUGCUUCUAUCAAUCCAAAUAAAAUCCCAUGCCACAAAAAGCUGUUGAGAAUUAUUUUUAUCCACCCCUAUCCUACCUCUCUACCUCUGUGUCUGAGAUCAUUAUCUGGUGUACUGCAGUGCUGGUGUGCUAUCGCUCUGGAGAUUCUCAAGGAAGAGUGAAAUCCCUGAGGAGAAAGAUAAUGGUCACCAUAACUGCAAUGUUUAUGGCUGUUUCUAAGAUUCAGUAGCAUCAGAUGGCUGUGAGUGAGGUGAUUUUAAGAACAAAAAGAUAACCUUCUUACAAAUAACCAGGUAAAUAACCCAACUUUUACUGCAGUAAACUGAAAAAUCCUACCUAGAACGUUGGAAUGAGCAGUGCUUGGGACGAGUCUUUUGGCAAGUGUUUGUGACUCAGAACUUAGAGAGGGUGGCACCAUCAUAAUGCAAGAAGUGAAAGGAUAAAGCAAAGAAGAUCUGGUUGGCUCAGCUUCCCAUGCAACUCCAAGAAGAUUCAAGCCUCUUUUAGCUCACCAGAGACAAAGGCAUACAUGCAAAGUUUUCAAAAGACCGUAGAUUACAGUGAAAGCUGGAUGCUACCAGCACUAGGUACUUCUCUUCUUCUCCAGUUAAGUAAAACUCGGGUUAUGAUAUGCUUUCAAUAUUAUGUCAAUAUUGUCACUAUGCUAAAUUCUUGUGUGAGCCAGACUUUGCAGAUGUGCUCCACAAGGUCAUUUAUCGUGGCUUGUGCUGGGUUGCAGGCCCAAAAUAUAUCUGUUGUGCUUGACACAGGAAAAACCAUUGUCACUUCAAAGCAGAUCUCAUUUCUGACAGCAAGAUGAAGCCAGUUAUUUCAGUAACACAACUUCCAGAUCUCAGAUCUCAUGAUUUCUCAAAAAAUUUAGUUGAGUCAAUUUUUGUCUUUUACACUGUACACUAAAAAUCUGCUAUUUGGAAGACUCUUCCCACACCAGCUGUCUCUGCCAUAUCACUGCAGCACUGGCUGUGGUAGGCAGGCUGGGAUAGGAAAGGGAUGUCAAAUGGAGAGGAGACAGAUAUGCACAUAGAAGAACUGUACUUAUCAGUGAUAUCUGGCAAUUAAAGGUAUCCUAAUUCACACCCAAUGAUUACAGGAAUAUGGAUGUUUCUACCAUAUUUCCCUGAGAUGAGUGUAUGCUUUGGAAUUUUUGGUAAGAAAGAAAGGUAGCAGCAAUAAAAUUAGCACACAAACACCAUCUGUGAAAGCCAAAAAGCAUCUAUAGAUCCUCUGCAUGCUAGAGGCUAUGAGGAGGGAUAGAAAAAACCCAGAAAGAAGAAGGAGACAGGGAAAUACAGAGCAUGGCUGCCCCCCACCUCCCCCCUCAAAAAAAAAAAGCAUGAUAAAGCUAAGAAGUAAAUAUGAAUUAAUAACUACUGUACAGACCAUUCUAACACUGAUAGGUUACUGCCAUACAAAUCAUAGGCAUUUUCCACAUGUUGUACAGAUCAAAUGAAUUAUUGCCAAUUAACACAAAGCAUUACCCUGAGGCACUAUCCAGGCAUAUGUAAAAACUUUAUCUAUCCUGAAGACACAAUUUAAAUGGAAAGCCUCCUUGGUUAUUGGUAAUAAGGCUGCACUCAAAACAAGGAGGGAAUAUGCCGUGAGUCAGGAGAAUGUUGUUGGAAAUCUGUAAAACACAUCUAUUGCCUACAGAAAUGAGCAACUAAAAAACCCCUCCAGCUCAUGCUACUUGCUCUGUACCAGUGUUUAAGUCAGUUCUCUGGAUUCCUCUGACUGCUCAAUAAACAUCACUUAACAUUUCUAUUUUCUUCCCACUGUUCUCUAGUCCAGGUACACACAAGCUGGCAACACUUGUGUUUACAUGGGACUACAAAGGUGGGGUCAUCUCAGGCCCUAAAGUGAAACAUUGAUAGUCCCAGCCAUAAGAUUCCACCAUUUCACCCAACUGCAAUGACUUCAGCUUUCUUGGACUUAUCUCUUCUCUUCCCAGGGUCACUCACUUUUCCUCCUGUGCUCUGCAAUAUCAGUAAAGAACAUUAUAUGACAAGGUCAUCUCUGGUGCUGUUGGUUACAAAGUACUCAGUGGAGAUGGUCAUUGAGGAGGCUUUGUUAAGCAUGUACUUGUUCCCACAACCUGAAAACUUCUCCCUUUUUUUUUUUUUUCCAUUACCCUCCACUCUGCUGGUUUAUAUUUAAUAUAUCCUCUAAAGACCUCUCAGGGUGUAAUUUGAUUGCUGCUAGGGAAAAAAAAAUUGCCCAUGAAUGGAAAAUUCUACUUUCUGCUCUUUCCAGUAGACAGUAGCAGAGAAUAUUCAUCUCUGGAGACUUCUUUUUAUUUAUUGAUGGAAGAAGGUAUCCAUCUCAGUUCACCAUUUCCAUGCCUGUACCUUCACCUUUUUUUCAUUUUGAGCACUUCAUAUCCAUGCUGUUAACUGUGGAUCACAAUCUUAUAUGGUUUUAUCCCUGUAAUGCCCUGAUGAAUUGGGAAAUGUCACUGUACUGACUUUAUAGGCAACACAUUAAGCAUCAAUACAUUGUGAGCUCAGGCUUAUGAAAAAGCCAUUCAUCAUAAAUGUGCCAAUUCUCUAUAGGCAUAGGCAAAGUUUGUCCCAAAUGGAGUAUAACUCAGAUAUAUCUGGCUUUUCCUGGGAUGGUUCUGUGACACACUUAAAAAUAUUGGAAAGAAAUGACAUGUUACCUUCUUUUACUAUAUACUAAGUUAAUGUUAAAUAUCUAGCCAUUGCUGUUGACUUAAUUGUUUUAAUGCAAAUGAUGAUUUACCUUGAUUUUUUUACUAAUUAUCCCAAAUUUAUAAUGAAAAAUGUAGCAAAAAAAGAAAUGGAAUCUUAUUUAUUUUUCUUUUAUCUUAGGCUGACUGAUGGAAUAUCCUUACCUUCAUUUCUUUCAGUAUUUUUGGAUGUGAUGCUUGAUUUAAUAUAACAUCUCUCAUGCUUAAGUAUCUCAGAGAGAGUUUAAGAAAAAAAAUGACACCACAUCUGCUGUAGUGUAGUUCAGGGUAUGUAGGACUGAAAGGGCAGAGAGGAAAGCAUGUUUCCAAAGGACAGCAUGGGAAAAAAGAGGGAUGCAUUAUCUAUCAUUUUUAUUUCAAAAUCUUGUGUUUCAGAACCAUGAAGUGCAGCAAAUUACACAUAAACUCAGCUAUUAGUGUUGAUAGGAGAGAUUCUGUUGUGACAACGGUGGAGUAAAUAGCAUAGGUAUAUUCUUGAAUAUAAAAUUUGAUAUGUAGUAAAUGCCUGUUUAGGAACAAACCUAACGUCAUUACAGAUUUUGGAAAUAUUGCUUGACAUGUUUGGCAAUGCACUGUCAAGAUGAAUUAGGUCCCACUUUUACUCUCAGAAUGAGAGUUGUUGCAAACAAUGAGAAAAAACUGUCCUGCUCUGUUACGGACUGCAGCCCGCUGUCUGUGCCUCAAGGGUGGCAAAUGAAUGGGCCAGGCAUAAAGCAGUGUGUAAUGUCAAAGGUAAACUGACACUCUGAGCAACACAAUUAAAAAGGAUUGUUUAUUAUUGGUCUGAAACACCACAAUAGAAAUCGUUCCCUCUUGGCUAGGCUUUGGACUCUCCACCCCGAGUAACCUCUCAGCACACAACUGUGCCAUGCCUGCAUCUAUUUCUAGUCAGCUUUAUAUUUUCUAAAGUAUCAGUUUGGGUCUACAACUUUACAGUCUUUAUUAUGUUUAACACCAUAGUAUCUCAAAAAAAAAAAAAAGAAAAGUGGAAGUAAUUUUGACCCUGGGACAGGAAGAUAAAGAGUGAGAUUCCAGAAAAAACAUGAAUAUUGUGAUACGAAGUAAAAUAAAGCACACAAUAAGCAACUGCAUAACCUAAAUUUAAAAACUAUUCUUUAGAUUUAAAGAAAAAGCAAACAAAAAAUCAAACCCAGAAAUUAAAUACCCCAGAACAAAACAAACAAAUAAAAAGCAAGAAAAAACCUAAGGGAAAAUUUAGGGACUCAUCCCUCUCCACACAGCAGAUGAGAAAGGUU